UACGUAGGUGGCAAGCGUUGUCCGGAUUUACUGGGCGUAAAGAGCGCGCAGGCGGUCGUUCAAGUCGCGUGUGAAAGCCCCCGGCUCAACUGGGGAGGGUCACUCGAUACUGAUCGACUUGAAGGCAGGAGAGGGAAGCGGAAUUCCCGGUGUAGUGGUGAAAUGCGCAGAUAUCAGGAGGAACACCGAUGGCGAAGGCAGGUCUCUGGGCAUUAACUGACGCUGAGGAGCGAAAGCAUGGGGAGCGAACAGG
rnacentral:rRNA from 1 species